rnacentral:rRNA from 1 species
CAGUCGCCGCGGGAAUACGAAGGGGGCUAGCGUUGUUCGGAUUUACUGGGCGUAAAGCGCACGUAGGCGGAUCCUUAAGUCAGAGGUGAAAUCCCAAGGCUCAACCUUGGAACUGCCUUUGAUACUGGGGAUCUCGAGUUCGGGAGAAGUGAGUGGAAUUCCUGGUGUAGCGGUGAAAUGCGUAGAUAUCAGGAGGAACACCUGUGGCGAAAGCGGCUCACUGGACCAUUACUGACGCUGAGACGCGAAAGCGUGGGGAGCAAACAGGAUUAGAUACCCCCGUAGUCCCUGUCCCUUAUAC